GGAUGUGAAGGCAAUCUGGCUGUGACAUCUUCACCCCACUGAUCCUCUGACUGGUUGAUUCCUCUGAUCUGGCUGACAAAGUGGGUGUCCCUUUCCUCCCUUCACCACUCCAUGUGUGUAAUUCCUGAAGUUGCAUGCUCAGUCUAAGAGGAUGCCCUUCCUCAAAUAGAGAUGGACCGGUCUUUGUUGGAGGGUAUAUGAUUCCUCUGCUAGAAUCUCCAGAUAAGCUCUCAAGACAAGAGAGAAAGAACCAGACAUCAAUCUGGUACUUGAGGCUGGGGAUUGAACUCAGGACCUCAUGCUUUAAAGU
ensembl:misc_RNA 7SK 7SK RNA